GGUUAAGCGACUAAGCGUACACGGUGGAUGCCCUGGCAGUCAGAGGCGAUGAAGGACGUGCUAAUCUGCGAUAAGCGUCGGUAAGGUGAUAUGAACCGUUAUAACCGGCGAUUUCCGAAUGGGGAAACCCAGUGUGAUUCGUCACACUAUCAUUAACUGAAUCCAUAGGUUAAUGAGGCGAACCGGGGGAACUGAAACAUCUAAGUACCCCGAGGAAAAGAAAUCAACCGAGAUUCCCCCAGUAGCGGCGAGCGAACGGGGAGCAGCCCAGAGCCUGAAUCAGUGUGUGUGUUAGUGGAAGCGUCUGGAAAGGCGCGCGAUACAGGGUGACAGCCCCGUACACAAAAAUGCACAUACUGUGAGCUCGAUGAGUAGGGCGGGACACGUGGUAUCCUGUCUGAAUAUGGGGGGACCAUCCUCCAAGGCUAAAUACUCCUGACUGACCGAUAGUGAACCAGUACCGUGAGGGAAAGGCGAAAAGAACCCCGGCGAGGGGAGUGAAAAAGAACCUGAAACCGUGUACGUACAAGCAGUGGGAGCACGCUUAGGCGUGUGACUGCGUACCUUUUGUAUAAUGGGUCAGCGACUUAUAUUCUGUAGCAAGGUUAACCGAAUAGGGGAGCCGAAGGGAAACCGAGUCUUAACUGGGCGUUAAGUUGCAGGGUAUAGACCCGAAACCCGGUGAUCUAGCCAUGGGCAGGUUGAAGGUUGGGUAACACUAACUGGAGGACCGAACCGACUAAUGUUGAAAAAUUAGCGGAUGACUUGUGGCUGGGGGUGAAAGGCCAAUCAAACCGGGAGAUAGCUGGUUCUCCCCGAAAGCUAUUUAGGUAGCGCCUCGUGAAUUCAUCUCCGGGGGUAGAGCACUGUUUCGGCAAGGGGGUCAUCCCGACUUACCAACCCGAUGCAAACUGCGAAUACCGGAGAAUGUUAUCACGGGAGACACACGGCGGGUGCUAACGUCCGUCGUGAAGAGGGAAACAACCCAGACCGCCAGCUAAGGUCCCAAAGUCAUGGUUAAGUGGGAAACGAUGUGGGAAGGCCCAGACAGCCAGGAUGUUGGCUUAGAAGCAGCCAUCAUUUAAAGAAAGCGUAAUAGCUCACUGGUCGAGUCGGCCUGCGCGGAAGAUGUAACGGGGCUAAACCAUGCACCGAAGCUGCGGCAGCGACGCUUAUGCGUUGUUGGGUAGGGGAGCGUUCUGUAAGCCUGUGAAGGUGUACUGUGAGGUAUGCUGGAGGUAUCAGAAGUGCGAAUGCUGACAUAAGUAACGAUAAAGCGGGUGAAAAGCCCGCUCGCCGGAAGACCAAGGGUUCCUGUCCAACGUUAAUCGGGGCAGGGUGAGUCGACCCCUAAGGCGAGGCCGAAAGGCGUAGUCGAUGGGAAACAGGUUAAUAUUCCUGUACUUGGUGUUACUGCGAAGGGGGGACGGAGAAGGCUAUGUUGGCCGGGCGACGGUUGUCCCGGUUUAAGCGUGUAGGCUGGUUUUCCAGGCAAAUCCGGAAAAUCAAGGCUGAGGCGUGAUGACGAGGCACUACGGUGCUGAAGCAACAAAUGCCCUGCUUCCAGGAAAAGCCUCUAAGCAUCAGGUAACAUCAAAUCGUACCCCAAACCGACACAGGUGGUCAGGUAGAGAAUACCAAGGCGCUUGAGAGAACUCGGGUGAAGGAACUAGGCAAAAUGGUGCCGUAACUUCGGGAGAAGGCACGCUGAUAUGUAGGUGAAGUCCCUCGCGGAUGGAGCUGAAAUCAGUCGAAGAUACCAGCUGGCUGCAACUGUUUAUUAAAAACACAGCACUGUGCAAACACGAAAGUGGACGUAUACGGUGUGACGCCUGCCCGGUGCCGGAAGGUUAAUUGAUGGGGUUAGCGCAAGCGAAGCUCUUGAUCGAAGCCCCGGUAAACGGCGGCCGUAACUAUAACGGUCCUAAGGUAGCGAAAUUCCUUGUCGGGUAAGUUCCGACCUGCACGAAUGGCGUAAUGAUGGCCAGGCUGUCUCCACCCGAGACUCAGUGAAAUUGAACUCGCUGUGAAGAUGCAGUGUACCCGCGGCAAGACGGAAAGACCCCGUGAACCUUUACUAUAGCUUGACACUGAACAUUGAGCCUUGAUGUGUAGGAUAGGUGGGAGGCUUUGAAGUGUGGACGCCAGUCUGCAUGGAGCCGACCUUGAAAUACCACCCUUUAAUGUUUGAUGUUCUAACGUGGACCCGUAAUCCGGGUUGCGGACAGUGUCUGGUGGGUAGUUUGACUGGGGCGGUCUCCUCCUAAAGAGUAACGGAGGAGCACGAAGGUUGGCUAAUCCUGGUCGGACAUCAGGAGGUUAGUGCAAUGGCAUAAGCCAGCUUGACUGCGAGCGUGACGGCGCGAGCAGGUGCGAAAGCAGGUCAUAGUGAUCCGGUGGUUCUGAAUGGAAGGGCCAUCGCUCAACGGAUAAAAGGUACUCCGGGGAUAACAGGCUGAUACCGCCCAAGAGUUCAUAUCGACGGCGGUGUUUGGCACCUCGAUGUCGGCUCAUCACAUCCUGGGGCUGAAGUAGGUCCCAAGGGUAUGGCUGUUCGCCAUUUAAAGUGGUACGCGAGCUGGGUUUAGAACGUCGUGAGACAGUUCGGUCCCUA
rnacentral:rRNA from 1 species